rnacentral:rRNA from 1 species
GAAGAUGCAGUGUACCCGCGGCAAGACGGAAAGACCCCGUGAACCUUUACUAUAGCUUGACACUGAACAUUGAGCCUUGAUGUGUAGGAUAGGUGGGAGGCUUUGAAGUGUGGACGCCAGUCUGCAUGGAGCCGACCUUGAAAUACCACCCUUUAAUGUUUGAUGUUCUAACGUUGACCCGUAAUCCGGGUUGCGGACAGUGUCUGGUGGGUAGUUUGACUGGGGCGGUCUCCUCCUAAAGAGUAACGGAGGAGCACGAAGGUUGGCUAAUCCUGGUCGGACAUCAGGAGGUUAGUGCAAUGGCAUAAGCCAGCUUGACUGCGAGCGUGACGGCGCGAGCAGGUGCGAAAGCAGGUCAUAGUGAUCCGGUGGUUCUGAAUGGAAGGGCCAUCGCUCAACGGAUAAAAGGUACUCCGGGGAUAACAGGCUGAUACCGCCCAAGAGUUCAUAUCGACGGCGGUGUUUGGCACCUCGAUGUCGGCUCAUCACAUCCUGGGGCUGAAGUAGGUCCCAAGGGUAUGGCUGUUCGCCAUUUAAAGUGGUACGCGAGCUGGGUUUAGAACGUCGUGAGACAGUUCGGUCCCUAUCUGCCGUGGGCGCUGGAGAACUGAGGGGGGCUGCUCCUAGUACGAGAGGACCGGAGUGGACGCAUCACUGGUGUUCGGGUUGUCAUGCCAAUGGCACUGCCCGGUAGCUAAAUGCGGAAGAGAUAAGUGCUGAAAGCAUCUAAGCACGAAACUUGCCCCGAGAUGAGUUCUCCCUGACUCCUUGAGAGUCCUGAAGGAACGUUGAAGACGACGACGUUGAUAGGCCGGGUGUGUAAGCGCAGCGAUGCGUUGAGCUAACCGGUACUAAUGAACCGUGAGG